rnacentral:lncRNA from 1 species
CCGCCACCUCUCCACUGGGUUGAGGUUUCUUAUUAAUUUCCACACCUCCAAGAACUCUUAGAGGAGCCAAGCUCAACAGUGUCGUCAAAUAUCACUGCCCCCUGGAGACCAGGGUUAGGCUGACGGUGGAAGGGCCAGAGGCAUGAUGACAGAGCGAGCCCUUGGGAGGGCAGGACAGGCAGAAGCCACACCCGUACCUCUGAACCUGGAGAUGGUAGGGGGCUGGGAGGCCAGCAGCCAUUCCUGAUGUCCAAUAGAAGUGAGCUACACUCGUCAUUCUCUCUCAGAUGAGGGCACGAUAGCAAAAUUUACACCUAAUCCUCUCUCGUUACCUGUGGAUGGCCAGUGCCCGGAGAUUCCUGGCUUUGAGACUUCGUUAUGUAUUAGUCACUGUUAGAAAGCAGUUUUUCUGACACUUUCAGUAAUAAAUCCCUUUGAUAUGAUCUAUGGUAGCUCUGCCUCAUAGCAAGUUCCAGGCCAAAGCAAGUAAUGGAAUAGCAAACUGCUUUGGAGGCAGGCAGACCUGGUUUGAAUCCUGGUUCUGUCACUAUGGUUUUACCUCACUUAAUCUUUCUGACACUCAGUUUCUUCAUCUGUAAAAUGGGGAAAAGCAUAUGAGGGCAGAACCUGGUUGCCCAUCCAACAGCCAUUUCCCUCUUCAUCCUUGCUAACAACAGUGACGACAACGAAAAAUCCUGAUUUUGUUCCAGUCCCGAAGUGCGAAAUCCCAGCAGAUGCGCUGCGUUGAUCUAAAUCCUGCAUUCCUGUUGUCAGUGACUGGUUUACAGGGUCUACAGGAAAGCGUGUGACCUAAUUCUGGCCAAGGAUGCUGAAGAGGAAACCUGCCAGAAGCUUCUGAGAAAGAUUUUCCUCUCUGAUAAGAGAGACCCUUGAAGAGAAGGCCCAUCUGCCUUCAUCCACUGGCUCCCUGACCCACGCUGUUUGGUGCUGUGGCAGCCGUCUCUUGAACAUGAGGGGAACCAUCAGUGACACACUAAAGAUGGCAGAGCAGAAGGACCGAAAGAGCCUAGGGCCUUGGGGACAACACUGAUCUAUUGAACCAACCUUGGUCCACCUAUCUCCAGAUUUCUUGUUAACAAUGUCUUUAUGGUUUAACCUAUUGUGUAUUGAGUUUUGUGUUGCUUGCAGUCAAAAACAAUCCUAACUGACACAAAU